AUUGCUUCUUGGCCUUUUGGCUAAAGCAAAUGUAGUAUUUGUUCUUUUCAGCUUAAUAUCUGAUAUGUUCUCUGAGGAUAAUAUGUUAAAUGAAUCUUUUGAACAGGGAGGGGAUAGUAGUUUGCUCCAUCCACUCCUGUGCAUUAGUACUUUCAGUACUUCCAGGAAUGGUGCAUCUCUAU